GACCGGGGAGGGGGGCAUAUCAAGGGUUGACUAGGAUUGCUGUGAGUCAUAAAAAAGUGUCUUAGCUUGAAGUAAGGGCAUUGUUCCUCAUUCUUCCAAGUCCACAAAGUAUUAAGAUAUUUCCCCUUCCAUAAAGAAGGUUGGAACAAGGAAGGAUAGAAGGGAAGCUCUGAUAAGCAGUUAGCCUACCUGCCAGUUUAGUAGUAGGGCAGUGAUUGGAGGAGACUGGUUAAAAAAAAAAAGACAAGGAAAUCUUCACCUGGGAUGCUGGUUUGGAGAGGAGAAAUGGUGAACCAUCCAUUGGGAGGAGCUAUAACAGAAAGGGAAGAGGAAUUCUGGUAGAGUCUGCAAUAUCUUUUUAUCACCAUGAAAACUCAAGUCAAAUAAAUCUACAGGGGCUCUUGGAGACACAGCAUGAUAAAGUGGGAAGAGAAUUGGAGUGUGAGUCAGGAAACGUGAGUUCAAAUUCCAGAUCCAUUACUUAUUGUUUCUGUGAUCUAGAGAAAGUAAUUUUGCC
rnacentral:lncRNA from 1 species